CAAUAGCGUAUAUUAUAGUUGUUGCAGUUAAAAAGCUCGUAGUUGGACUUCUGAUGUGGGGAUUCGGUCCACCGCAAGGUGAGCACUGAUGUCCUUGCGUCUUCCUCUCGUAGUUGUUUGGCGCACUUAGUUGGGUGCCAGAUGAAUAUGGGACCUUUACUUUGAAAAAUUAGAGUGUUUAAAGCAGGCAUUUGCUGUGAAUACAUUAGCAUGGAAUAAUAAGAUAGGACUUUGGUGCUAUUUUGUUGGUUUGCACGCCAAGGUAAUGAUUAACAGGGACAGUUGGGGGUAUUCGUAUUUUGAUGUCAGAGGUGAAAUUCUUGGAUUUUCGAAAGACGAACUUCUGCGAAAGCAUUUACCAAGGAUGUUUUCAUUAAUCAAGAACGAAAGUUAGGGGAUCGAAGAUGAUCAGAUACCAU
rnacentral:rRNA from 1 species